UUGAUGCUAUGAGAUGGUCUCAUCAAUGUGCAACAAUUGAACUGGAUUUCCAACUUCCUGAGAGAUUCAACCUCACGCUAGCUAUUGUAGGUUCAGUUGAAAAAUGAUUGCUAUUCUUGCUGAAAGCUUUGGUGGAAAAUGGAUUUUAUGGCUUUCUCCCCAUCAAGUUGUAGUAAUUCCUGUCAGUAGUAAAUAUGAUGAUUAUGCCGAACCGGUAAAUUUAAUUUGAUUCAAAAGAAGUUCCAUGCAGCUGGUUAUCGUGUUGAUACAGACUUGGAUCACGGAUCAACACUAAAUAAGAAAGUUCGCAAUGCACAACUUUCACAGUACAACUUCAUUCUUGUUGUUGGUGAAAAAGAGACGGUCUCAGACACGGUCAACGUCAGAACACGUGACAACAAAGUACUCGGUGAAAAAUCGGUCAUGGCCGUGAUCGAACGCUUGCGAGAUUUAGUCAGCUCACGAAGUCUGACAAGCGAAGAUUUUUGAAGUAAAACAACAUUUUUAUGAAAAAUAGGUACGCGUACAUGCCACUGGUCACUGGCAAACUGGCGGCAUUGGUCACUAAUACUUUAUCAGUGGUGGUAAUAUUGAUUUUAUCGUGGUGGUAAAUUCUUCCAUUGGUAAUUUAUGGCGAUAACCAUCAGCAACUUUUCA